rnacentral:rRNA from 1 species
UACAGAGGUGGCAAGCGUUGUUCGGAAUUACUGGGCUUAAAGGGUGCGUAGGCGGCGCGGUAAGUUGGGUGUGAAAUCCCUCGGCUCAACCGAGGAAUUGCGCUCGAUACUGCCGUGCUCGAGGGAGACAGAGGUGAGCGGAACUUAGGGUGGAGCGGUGAAAUGCGUUGAUAUCCUAAGGAACACCAGUGGCGAAAGCGGCUCACUGGGUCUCGUUCUGACGGCUGAGGCACGAAAGCUAGGGAGCGAACGGG